rnacentral:rRNA from 1 species
UCGGGAAUUUUGGGCAAUGGGCGAAAGCCUGACCCAGCAACGCCGCGUGAAGGAUGAAGUAUUUCGGUAUGUAAACUUCGAAAGAAUAGGAAGAAUAAAUGACGGUACUAUUUAUAAGGUCCGGCUAACUACGUGCCAGCAGCCGCGGUAAUACAGAGGUCUCAAGCGUUGUUCGGAUUUACUGGGCGUAAAGGGUGCGUAGGCGGCGGCGUAAGUCGAGUGUGAAAUCUUCCGGCUCAACCGGAAAAUUGCACUCGAUACUGUGUCGCUCGAGGACUGUAGAGGAGACUGGAAUUCACGGUGUAGCAGUGAAAUGCGUAGAUAUCGUGAGGAAGACCGGUGGCGAAAGCGAGUCUCUGGGCAGUUCCUGACGCUGAGGCACGAAGGCUAGGGGAGCAAACGGGAUUAGAUACCCUUGUAGUCCCUGAGCGGGCUGGCAAGGCGCAU